rnacentral:lncRNA from 1 species
GCCCUCUCCUCCUAUUGAUUAUCUCCUUGUCUUACACCACCCUGGCUUAAAGUUGCUCUCUCCCCCGUGGUCCUGAGCUACAAAUAGAUCUGCUGUUGUUUUUCCCAUCACCCUCGCUCUGGUCAUUUGCUCCAGGUCUUGUGAGGAAAACGUUUGAGGAGAAAUGCCUCUCAUCUGGUGACCGCAAAGCCUUCAAGCCUCACCUUAUCUUCAUGAAGCUGUCCAAAACUCCUCAGCUACACAGUCAGGGUUUAAAGAAGCUGUACUCUGACUACGCUCAACACCACUUUGGAAACGAGAGGGUAUUCAGACUGGCCCUCUGCUCAAUGUUGAAGAAAAAGACCCCAGAUGGAUACUACCACCGAGGUCAGUUUCGGUGAGUAGAACCACGAGGCAGACUUGAAAGAAUUGUGACUGAAAAUCUCAUCUGCUGUCCGCAUUGACAUAAUUUAGAAUUCAAAGAGAUGAACACAAUGUUUUUUGCUUCAGACCUACUGUACCACUUCAAUAUCACAUGAAUUAUGCACAUAACUUGAUUUACUCAAACUUGGGAGGUAAACUAAACCUGAGGGAAAGUCCAAAUAUCAUAAUACAGACUAAUAGUGAGUACAGUGGGGAUUUUCUUACUGGGAUUUAAUAUUUAUCCAAGAAAAAUGUACAGAACC